GAGAGAUUAGUUAAAAUAUAAUAUAAGAUUGUCAGUCUUACGUUACUAGUCAGAUUAGUAUCUCUUG
rnacentral:tRNA from 1 species